AGUACAGCAAUUAGUUAAUGAUGUAAACAGUAAAUGGUAUAUUUUAUUUUCAAAUGCAAGAUGUUAGUCUGCCAGACGACAAAAUAUCAGCUCCAUCAUGUGCGUUCGCACGAUGCAAACAAUAAUUCGUCCAAAAACAUUCGCAAACAUGUUCAUUGAUGACGUCUAUCGGAACAUAUAUAAUUACGUCAUCAUGAAUAGACGUUGUGGGCGAUUAUUGUGUUGAAAUAAUGGUUGAAGUACGCCGCGACUUGGAGGGAAUUUAAUAAAAUAGCACAGGAAACUCAUACAUGGCGAUCUAGUUGGAAAAAAAACACGAUGUUUAUUUUCAAGGACUUAAUGGUGGAAGAUGAGCGUCGAAGUCUUCAUCGUCAAAGAAUUCGUCGAACAGGAAGAGCAAGGGGGGAGAAGGAGGGAUAUUCUAAAGAAAAAUCCACGAGGUAACAACGUGCCAAUGAAUUUUCAAGGCAUUCUACGAAAAGCUUUCCCUUCCAAGACAAAUACAAUCCUUAUCGCAUUUUAAACCUCUCCAGUUACUAUGCGUAACACGACGUCCACGAUUAAAUUAGCUCACCUGCGCGGACGUUGUUUAUUUGACAAAAAAAAAAUAAUAAAAGAAUUUGAUGAAAAUUCCUAUCUCUUC